GAUGAACGCUGGCGGCGUGCUUAACACAUGCAAGUCGAACGGAAAGGCCCAAGCUUGCUUGGGUACUCGAGUGGCGAACGGGUGUGUAACACGUGGGUGAUCUGCCCUGCACUUCGGGAUAAGCCUGGGAAACUGGGUCUAAUACCGGAUAGGACGAUGGUUUGGAUGCCAUUGUGGAAAGUUUUUUCGGUGUGGGAUGAGCUCGCGGCCUAUCAGCUUGUUGGUGGGGUAAUGGCCUACCAAGGCGUCGACGGGUAGCCGGCCUGAGAGGGUGUACGGCCACAUUGGGACUGAGAUACGGCCCAGACUCCUACGGGAGGCAGCAGUGGGGAAUAUUGCACAAUGGGCGCAAGCCUGAUGCAGCGACGCCGCGUGGGGGAUGACGGCCUUCGGGUUGUAAACUCCUUUCGCUAGGGACGAAGCGUUUUUGUGACGGUACCUGGAGAAGAAGCACCGGCUAACUACGUG
rnacentral:rRNA from 1 species